rnacentral:rRNA from 1 species
CCAAUAGCGUAUAUUAAAGUUGUUGCAGUUAAAAAGCUCGUAGUUGAAUUUCGGGAUCAAUUUAUUGGUCGUGCCAACGGUACGCACUGGUACAAUUGGUUUCUCCCUUCUGACGAAGCAUGAUGUCAUUAACUUGGUGUCGUGGGGAAUCAGGACUGUUACUUUGAAAAAAUUAGAGUGUUUAAAGCAGGCUUUGGCUUGAAUACAUUAGCAUGGAAUA